UUUGGUGAGUGCGGGUUUAGUGCAUGUUUUUAUUCGAACCUCAUGACUAGAUCCACACUCAUCCAAA
rnacentral:pre_miRNA from 1 species